UAAGUUGGUCAAACCAACUUAUAAGCCCUUUUUAGCUUAUUGUAGUGUUUGACUACCAACUUAAAAUGUCAAAUUUAAGCCAAAAAGUGCUUAAAGUUACCCAAAAAUAAAAAGUUGGAAUCCUAACUCUUUUUUUGGAUGGCUUAAAGCCAUUUGUGUUGACCAUGAAAAUUACUUUUAUAUCCCUGAUAUUUUAUUUUAAUUCCUAAACUACCCUCUCAGCUAAAGCCCUAAAAUUCACAUUUCUUCCUCAUUUCUUCUACACGCAGCCUCCACCAUCGCUGUGUGCAACAACCAGCCUCCAAAACGGGCUCUUUCUUCACUCCCUCACUCACUCUCUUUCUCUCUCUAACAUAAAUCUACAACAUUGCCGCUAAAAAAGCAUCAUCUGAUUACUUUGCUUGGGUUGCUAAACAGACUUUCAAUCUUGGUGACUGUUUGAAAAAGUAGUAGUAGAGCGCACAUUUGGCGUUUGGAAAGCAAGAUGGUCUAUUUUGAGAGACAUGCCAUACUAUCACAUUGACACACAAAGGGACAUCGUACUUGCUACUAUGGCCAUUCACAAUUAUAUUAGAAAGAAAUGCAAUGUGGAUGAUGCAUUCCAAACAGCCGAGAAUGAGAGCUAUAUUCCAUCGGUUGAUUCUAAUGAUAUUGGCACAACUUCAAGAGCUAACAAUGUAGAUGUCGAAGAUGUAGGAGAACAAAAUGAUGUCUAUUGGAUGGGGUUUCGUGAUAUGAUUGCUAGUGACAUUUCUAAUGCUUGAUGCUUGUAUUAUAUGAAUAUUUUCCACUUCUUGUAUUUAUAGUGGAGUGCUUUCGGUUGUAUUAGCACUUUUUAUUUUGUGUCAAAUUCUCCAUCUUUGACACCCGUGCUUUUUAAAACACUGCUUGAAACAAGGAAAACUAAGGCUCUAUUUGUUUUUAAAAUUGACUAAUAUAAAGUGCAAAGUAUUAACAUUUC